rnacentral:lncRNA from 1 species
UGUGCCUGACUACUUCAUACCAGCACAGUUGCAGAAAUACAUUCCCUUGCAAUGAAAAAGCCAAUGGAGUCCCGACAAGUUCUGCUUAUCACCAAAGCCUUAUUUUAGCCUUUAAAUUUUGCUCUUUUCCCCAUUACUAUUUUACUUCUUCCUGCGUUCAGUAUCCCAAGCAGUAGGUUUGCCCUCCUCAUGUCACAUGCCACCUUUUAAAAUAGCUGUUAUGGGGUGGGGAUUGCCUGCCUGUGCCAGCACCCAAAGGUAACGCCCUGAUCUCAGCGGGAUUUUUCCACCUUUCCCCAUGAUUCUGCCCAGGAAGAGGGCAGACAGAUCUGUAUCUCAUCCCCUUCCAACCCAUUAUUUCACCAUCUGCGUAAAUUCAGCCUAGCAAAUGGUCUGAGUGGCAGACAGCUUUGCACAGUAUUAAUACAAUUAAUUUGAACAGUGAAGUUACUCUUCAGGAGUUCAGCCACAUACAAAACCUCCUUUACGUCCCUUUCUUUUCUGUGAACAGAUCUUUGGACCGCAUCAGAUACCCAGUUCACCCUUCUGAAGGGAUGUGGCCACUGGGCACAAUGGGGAUGGGUCAGUGGUUGGACUACACAAUCUUAGAGGUCUUCUCCAGCUUUAAUGAUUCUACAUUUCCACAAGUCUAAGGCUGGAAAAGGUGUUCUACAGCCCACAUCAAGAGCAUAUUGCACACAUGACUUACAGCACAGGGGAGAUCUUUCCGGUGUCCUUGGAUCACAGUAUUGCUAUAUGCAUGUUCCUAACUAAACCACGGCAGACACCUGCAGUGACUCUCCUGCAACAGUUCACAAGUCAACAGGAGACAUUUUGUCAAUUAGGAGUCAGUGAGCAAUGCUCCAAACACAGCCCCAAAGUGCUCCAGCACUACUUGCAUGUGCCUGCACAGCACAUCCCACCCUACUGCUGAACAACAUUGCUCCUACCACCAGCAUCACAACAAGCUUCACAGAACUGUGUGCAUGAGACAUCAAAAAACCAGGACUAGAGUGGAGGAAGAGUUUGGAAACACGUUCUCAGUCCGAAAAUCCAGGAAGGCUCUCAGAGCAAAAGCAUGUGCACUUGUGGGAGGUGCAAGAAGUGGCUGUGGAGCUCCGGAGGCGCGAGAGCGAGAACAGGUAAUGACAGUCAGUGAUGAAGACUGGGACUGCUGGGUGCAACUGAACAGUUUGAUCCUGCAAAAAAGAAAUGGGAUUAGCACCAUGAGCCCUGGCCAGUGUAAGUCACAGACCCCAAAGCUCCUGAGACAACUCAUCAUCUCUGUUUAGCAUACAAAAAAGAAGAGAAGAAAGAAGAAGACAGACACUUCAGCAGAGUCUGCUUCGGUGAGACAAGAGAAAAUGGUUUCAAACUAAAGGAGAGGAAAUUUAGACUGGGAUAUAAGGAACAAACAUUUUGCAAUAAAGGUGGUGAAACACUGGCA